CUGCCCCAAAAUUUCCCCUGUUUUUCUGUUGUUUAUGAUUUGUAAAUGGGUUUCCUUUUUUUUUUUUCCCCAUUAUUUUUUGGUUUAUCAUCUAUGAUUUGAUCUAUCUUUUUUGGGUUUCAAGCAAGUUGAAACAUUUUCUUCAAUCAAGUUAUCAAUUUAUUCAGAUUUUUACUUUUGAUUACAAGAUUUUAUUAAUAACAUAUCCCACACCAGCUCUUCUCUGUUCAGAUUUGUUCUUCAUCAUUCUUCUUCUUCUUCUUCUUCUUCUUCUUCUUCUUAUUAUUAUUAUUCUAUGGGUGGGAUAUGUUGUGAAAACAAAAAAUAAAUAAAUGAAAGAGAUGAAGUAGAAAUGAUGCUCUGUUUUGGCCAUUUCUAUUAUUAUGGAAUGGAAGAGAGAUCAUUUGUGUUUUAUUUUAUUUUCUUUUCCCCUCUUUGUAAUGCAUUAUUUAUAACAUAUGUUACAAGGGCAGCCCCACAGUUGCUUGUGUUGCUGCAUAAUGCCCCUCGACAGAUGUUAUGAAAAAUCUAGCUCAAUUCACCUCCUUGUCAAAUUCUUUUCUGUCUACUGCUGUAAUUUUCUUCAGAUUUAAAACCAAGAAUAAGAAUAACUUAUUGAUGCAACUGAAGUUAAAGAAUUUUCAACAACUACAAGGCAUAAGCAUAUUUAGGAUUUAUCAGCAACUUAUGUUUGAAGUAGGAUUUUUCAUGUUCAUAGAUAUUUAGAUGGAAAAUUCAAUCGAUCAAUGAUUUGGAUAGUUGUCAGGGCAACUGCUUGAGUAAGAAAGAGUUAUAAGCAUAUUUAGCAAUAUGAGGUCCCAACAAAGGUUUCAAAGGUAUUGAUUCUUACCUAUUAUACAACACUAACCUACUGAAUAGCUUAAAACAACCCAAUUCUAUUAAAUCCCCAUUUUACUAUUCCUAUGUAAGUUUGUUCUUUGUUUCUUCCUUUCUUGUUUCUUUUCUCUCCUCAUUUUUCUUUCCCUUUUUCAUAACUUUUUCUAUUUGGUUUCUUUUUUGUUUUUGUGUUUGCAAUUCAUUUUUUUCCCUUCAAUUACAAUUUUAUUUUAUUUUUUAAAUUAUUAUGUGAAUUUCAGGUAGGGUUGUGGGGAACCCAUAAAAUUUUGCAAAAGUCAAGUAAAGCUUAAGCAUGUACCUUUGUUGGACUCUGCUUAGGGGCUUGAAAUUGAUGUGGUUAGACCUUCCACAAUGUCCACAACUUAAAUUUCUGAUCAGAGAGAAUACUCCUUUUAUUGUGGUGAUUUGUUGCAACUGCUUGAUAAUUAUCAAAUACUGACAAAAUGACCAGUCAAGUGUUGAGUAAAAGACUCCUUCAUCCCAUUAAGUUUCAAAUGUUAGUCUUAAGCAGGUUGAAUAUUUUUUGUUAUUACUCUUCUUUUUUGCUUGUCUUUUUAUUUUAAUCUUAGUGGCAUGUCAAGUCAUAGAAUAGGUUUGAAGUAUCAUGAUGUUUUCACUAAGCUGUGUUCAUAUGAACUAAGAAAGGCUCUAGAAAUUAUGUACAAAUAAAGGUGAUUAAAUUUUAUCAUUUUUGAAUUUGCUAUUCGACUGUACUUUAAACUCACCAUGCUAUGGCUUGUUGGCAGUUGCACUUUGUUUUAUCAUAUUAAACGCUUUCUAUUAUCUAUUAUUUGUUUUACUUUUUGUGCUAACUUAAGCCGCUUAUUGUUUAUUCAUUUUUUGUAGAUGGAUAAUAAUUAUGUCACUAAGAAAUGGAGAAAGGACCUCAUGGAGGAAUUUGUAACCCUCUAACGUGUAGUUUCAUCCAUUAAUUAUGCAUGUGCUGUGUAUAUAGUGAUUUUACAUACUGCAUUCAAGAAGAAAGAAAUUAGGUUGCAACUACCUAGAUCACCUCAUCCCUAUGGAAAACAAAUUGACUAUUUGAAUAGAUUGGUCAGCGAUAGUGACAUAAAUUGUCAUGACCAACUUCGGAUAAAUAGGCAUACUUUUAUGCUUUUGGGUUGGUGCAAAGUGUUGGAUUGUCUAAUUCAAAGUAUGUCAUCUUAGAGGAGCAAGUAGCAAUGUCUUUGAAUGUGCUUGCACAUCAUACUAAGAACAGCAAAAUUUAAUUUAAUUUCAUACGGUGUGGUCAAACAGUUAGUAAGCACUUCAAUAAUGUUCUCAAGGCCAUGUUGUGCCUCCAUGGUCUCCUCCUUAAGAAGCCUAAACCAAUAAUUGCUAAUUGUACAGAUGAUAGAUGGAGUUGUUUUCAGGUACAAUAUAUUUACAACUUCGCUUAAUUAGCAUAUUAAAUUUUUGUAUUGCCUUUAUUAAUUUUAUAAUAUUGUUUUAUUUUUAGAAUGUCUUGGUGCUUUAGAUGGAACCUAUGUUAAGGUUCUUGCUCCUGUAAUAGACAAACCAAGGUAUAGAACGAGAAAGGGAGAAAUUGCCACAAAUGUAUUGGGUGUGUGCUCCUAAGACAUGCAAUUCAUAUAUGUCUUGCUUAGAUAAGAAGGAUCUGCUUCUGAAUCUAGGGUACUUAGAGAUGCUGUCAGUAGACCCAAUGGGUUGAAAGUCCUUACUGGUAUGAUAAUUAUAUAUUGUUAUAUAUAUAAGUACACUAUCUAUAUUAAACAAUUAUUUUCUUGUAUACAUAGUGAAACCAUCUUACAUAAUUACAGGCCACUACUAUCUCAUAGAUGCGGGUCACACAAAUUGGGAGGGGGGAUUUCUUGUACCAUAUAGAGGACAACGUUACCAUCUUUCCACAUGGAGAGAAGGGGAUGCCCCCAACAACUCCAUAAGAUUUUUUUCAACAUGAGGCACUCUUUUGCUUGUAACGUCACUGAGAGGUUUUUGGGGCUCUUAAAAUGAGGUAUGGAUGGCACAGGUACCACUAGUUCUCAUAAGAAGGGGAAACUUCGAAGGUUUUGGAAUAAUCGUAACGAAGUUUUCCUCAUUACAACCAUGAAAGAUGUAACCACAAGUAAUCCCAGGCGAAAGCUUGAUAAUAAUCAGAUAUGUUAAAGAUAAGUGGUUUGGGUUAGGAUGAUGAACAAAUGAUGGUCCCAGUUGAUAGUGAUGACGUAUGGCUAAACUAUGUCAAGAGGGUGUCAGAUGUAAAAAGGAUGUGAAACGGGCCAUUCCCAUUGGCUUAUUCUAUUUGGAAAGGAUAGGAAGACUGAUAAACUGGCUGAGGAUCUUGCUGAUGCAGUUGCGACCAUGGAAAAAGAGGAUGCAAAUGCAACUACAAAAUAAGGAAAACAGUCUCCUAUUGAACAGUUUAGUAUGAACAUGGGUGAUACAGACUACUCAAUGUCUACUACAGGUAAUGUUCCCAACCAUGCUGACUCUACUAAAACUGGGAAAGAAAGGGACUCGACCUGCUAAGGGGAUUCCUAUUGAACUAUUAGAGAUGGCAAAAAAUCUUGGAUCAUUAAUUGAGAAUACUAAUAUUACGAUAGUGGAGAUUGCUCAUAGGAUAGGAUAUUCACAUGACCUAUCCCAACAAAGGAGGUUGGUUAAUGUAGAACUUCUGAAGUUGCCAAUGAGUAAUACCCAAAGAUUGAUGGCAGCAUCUAUAAUAGUGAAAGGUGAAGACAAAGUUGACUUGUUCUUCAGUUUAAAUGAGAAUGACAAGAUGGAGUGGGUUUCUUUGCUAUUAAAAGGUCAUAUUUGAAUGUGGCAUCGAUUGUAUGAUGCUCUUUUUAUUUGCCACAUGACUUGUAAUAUAUAAUGUGAUGCAUAAAUAUUAUAGCUUAGGUAUUGUCUGCUGUUGCAAUCUGUUUAUCUGCUGCAAUAUAUUGUAUGAUGGUCUUUUUGUUGAGCUACUGCUGCUCUCUGCUAUAUUGGUUUAAUCUACUGCUGCAAUCUGUUUAUAUGAUGCUGCUGUGUUGGGCUGGUUAAGACUGAUUUUUGUAGUCAAGGUUUCCACUUCAAGUUGUUCUGUUCUAAUGCCUCUGCUAUGAUGGUGUCCAAGACCAGAGGUUAUUGUGGUUGCUGCUUGGGUGCUAGAAUUGUCUGUUAUGGGCCGGCUUUUAUUUUGUUCUACUAGUAUAUUUGGUUUUGGCCUAUCCAUGUGGAUUGUAUAUUGUAGUAUAUUAUAAAUUUGUUGUAGCUUGGAACUUUUUUUAAAUUAAGGAUGUCAAGUUGAUAUUGUUAUUUGGACUUA